GCUUACGGCCAUACCAGCCUGAAUACGCCCCGAUCUCGUCUGAUCUCGGAAGCUAAGCAGGGUCGGGCCUGGUUAGUACUUGGAUGGGAGACCGCCUGGGAAUACCAGGUGCUGUAAGCA
rnacentral:rRNA from 1 species